rnacentral:lncRNA from 1 species
AGUAAUAAGAUUUUAGUCAGUAAUAAGAACUUGCAAAAUCCGAUAUGCCAUGCUCCGGUUACAGUUGGUCUAUUAGUGUUCCGCCUUUUCCCUAUGUUUGGCCUUUUGCCCUGAUGUUCCGAACUACUCUAUUCUUUUGUUUCUUAAUGAUGUUUGUGAACAAUUGAAUCUAGCGAUUGAUUCGUUCUUUCUUCUUGCUUCCAGUUAAUAUUUUGGGGGAAGGGCAGGAACUAUGUUUCAAACCACUCUAUUCUUUUGUUUCUUAAUGAUGUUUGGGAAGAAUUGAAUCUAUCGGUGAUGAUGUUGAUGUGCAUGUGUUGGUAGUGCUACUAUUUUUCACAUACUUUAGUAUUAAUAAUUUGGACGGAAUUGCUCACAAGCUUUAUCAGGCUCUCUUUUCAAUCUCUAAUAUGCCCAUUUGGGACUUUGCCUUUUCCUUUGUUCCCCUUCUAUUAUUUAUUUAUUUAUUUUUUGUAGGUUAAAUGGACCUAGGAGUGCUGUGGUCUUUUUUUUCUUUUUUUUUUUUUUU